UCUCUCUCUCUCUCUCUCUCUCUCUCUCUCUCUCUCUCUCUCUAUGUCUAAAGAUCUAAAUCAAUUCAAGGCUUCACAAUCUAGUAAGGUCCCUAUCUCUAACAAAUUUGCUGAUUUCGGUUUAUUCCCUUUCAAAAUCAGUUAUUCCAUAGUAAUUCCUCUCCUUUUCUCCUUGCUGACGACGACCUGAAACAAAACAAACCCAAUGAGAUAAAGGCGGUUCCUAUUGCCAAUGGCUUCUUCAACUCUCCGGCCACUAGCAGUAAUUAUUCCUCAUUUCAAGUCUCUGUUCAGUUGGUUUCCUUGAUGCUUGACAACGAGAGCUCCCAUUCAAUCAUUUUAGGGGCACUCGUGGGCUUCAAAGAUUAAGAGAUUAUAGUUCAAUUUUCAGAGAGCUCUUAGAUUACCCAGUUCUUGGAAAGAAGAGUUGUGCCAAAGAAGAGGCCCUGAUUUUUCAAAACUGUGUUGUGUGAGCUUGAGAUGUCUGCAUCAAUGUGCUAGUAGUGAUUGCUGUCAAUUGUUGUGAAACAUGGCUGCAGAGAGAGUUCCGAGGCCCAAAGUCGAAAAUUUGCGGAGGAAGGUGGCAAUUGAGUUUGGUGAGCCUGGAACUAGUGAUAUGAAGGUGAUUUUACUUGGGAAGCAGGGAUUUUGUGUGAAGUUGAGUGUUCACAAGAAUGUUCUAGUGGAAGACAAAGAACUUUUGGGUGGUAACCAUAUAUUAUUAGUAUGUUGCUGAUCUGAUGGUAAACCAAUCGCUGCCAGGGUUGAAGAUGGAACAGUUCCAUUUCAUGAUGUUGAAGUGAGUAGCGGUAAUUUUUUAGUUUGCAGAGAAUCCAUUGAAAAUAGCCGACGAAGCCAAUAGAGCUAGAAUUGGUAGGCUAUCUUGGUUGCUACAUAUGCAGCUCAAUCACAGGCAGCCACAAAAGAGCUCACCUCUAAGGUACUUCACUAUCAAAUGCCUUGAUAUUUUGUUAUAUUUAUGUAUUCAUCUUACAUUGUAUAUCAAUUCAUUCGAAAAGCUUAAGGCAGCAUAUAAAAUUUUUCAUCAUUAAAAUUAAAACCAAGUGCCUGCUUGGUAACAUUAGCAAUCAUUUCAAAUUAAGGAUAGAGAAGGAAGAUGAGAGCAUGGAAACCAAAGAUGUCAGAGAAGGAGAAAAAGAUGUGCAUAGACUGAUUUAUAAAAAUCGCAAUAAACUAAUAACAGUUCU